CGAAAUCCUGGGGGGAAGCUGCAAUGCCAGGACCAAAGGACCAAAGUGGAGGAAAAAUAUCCGUGACUAGAAGAAAGAAGAGGGCAUUCAGUUACACUGAAUUUUGCAACUAUUUGUUCUUCCAUUCCAUUUAAGUAUACAGAAAAAUGGAAAUGCUGCAUCACUGUGUCACUUGCAUGAUCUACUGCUGUUUGUUGAUCCCUCCCUCAGGAAGACACAAAAG
rnacentral:lncRNA from 1 species